ensembl:misc_RNA 7SK 7SK RNA
AGCCUGUGAAGGCCAUCUGUUUGAAACACAUCUCCCCUGGGGGCCAAGGUUGUCUCAGCUGAUCUGGUGGGAAAGGCAGCCAUCUCCUCUUUUUCUCACCAUUCUACCUGGACUCCUGCCAAUGAUGUACAUUUGGUCAAGGAGCACAACCUCCCAAACAGAGUGCCAUUUAUCUUAUCAAGGGUAUUCAAGGAUCUGUACUAUCCUACAAGUUCUAAAUAAGUUUAUUUAAGGCCAGUGGGGAAAUGACAUACGACAGUAAAUCUUCCAAGACUGCCUUUCUCUAAAAACCUGUCCCAGAGAUUGACAGCACUC